rnacentral:pre_miRNA from 1 species
UACUAAAUAGUACUUGACUGAAGUGUUGGUAUAAGGGGACUUAUUCAGCGUAUACCAACACUUCAGUCAAGUACUAUUUCU